UGUGUGUGUGUGUGUGUGUCUGUAUGUGAUGAUGUGUGUGUGUGUGUGUGUGUCUGUAUGUGAUGAUGUGUGUGUGUGUGUGUAUUAGCCAUUUUAUAUGCCUGAUCAAUACAAAAUAGCCUGCACAUUAAAGCUCUGGGCUGUAUAAAUCAUUCUAAACAAUCAAAUUAAUUAAUUGGUGUAUUAACAUCAACGAAACCACUGGAGUAAUUUACAUUUGAAUCAUUUCUCAAACGCUGUUACCCAGAAUGACUGUCAUCCAGAGUGACUGUCAUCCAGAAUGAUUGACAGGGUGGGUGUGUCCACAAGUACAUUUUGGUGCCUGGCAUGGAGACAUGGUCCGGCCCGUCGGUUAGGUUUGGUGCCCACCGCUGUAACCACCAGCCUACCAGAUGUGUGCCAGUCUGGAGGCACCCGUCCUCAGUUCCUGACCCCUACAUGUUUUUCAUGCUGAUGCAUAGUUUGGAUCAUCUACAGGUCUAAUUACGUCUGGAUCAUCUACAGGUCUAAUUAAGUCUGGAUCAUCUAUAGGUCUAAUUAUGUCUGGAUCAUCUAUAGGUCUAAUUAAGUUUGGAUCAUCUACAGGUCUAAUUAAGUCUGGAUCAUCUAUAGGUCUAAUUACGUCUGGAUCAUCUAUAGGUCUAAUUACGUCUGGAUCAUCUACAGGUCUAAUUAUGUCUGGAUCAUCUAUAGGUCUAAUUACGUCUGGAUCAUCUACAGGUCUAAUUAUGUCUGGAUCAUCUAUAGGUCUAAUUACGUCUGGAUCAUCUACAGGUCUAAUUAUGUCUGGAUCAUCUAUAGGUCUAAUUAAGUCUGGAUCAUCUAUAGGUCUAAUUACGUCUGGAUCAUCUUUAGGUCUAAUUAUGUCUGGAUCAUCUUUAGGUCUAAUUAUGUCUGGAUCAUCUAUAGGUCUAAUUAUGUCUGGAUCAUCUUUAGGUCUAAUUAUGUCUGGAUCAUCUAUAGGUCUAAUUAUGUCUGGAUCAUCUAUAGGUCUAAAUACGUCUGGAUCAAUUAUAGGUCUGAACACGUCUGUGAUUGAUCUCUAAGAGUAUUUUAUUGUAGUCAUGCUUUUAGAAUGUAUGGUUUGGGAUUAAACCGGCUUCUACUUCCAAUAGAGAAACAAAGCCUGUUUUCUACUUUAAGAAAUCAUAUAAACACAGUGACAGAUCUGUUUUUUCAUAUUGGGAGAUCUGGGCUAUUGAUGAGUUUAUUAGUAUAUUUUCCAUUUAUGGAUUCUUAAUAACAAUUGGAGGAAUGGACUGCUUUUUCAACUUAUUUCCUACUUACUAAGAGUUAGACAAGCUGAUUAAUAUUAUUUUCAUGUCACAGUUAAAAGAAAGUUAAGCUGCAGCAUUGUCAACAAGUACUAGCCAUCUCUUAUCAAAAGCAGUGAAAGUCUCAGUAGAAGAGAUCGCAUACCACUGAAAUUAGUCCACAGUCUGAAAAAUCAGGAAGUUGAUGGAAUCUAUUUGUUACAAUUAUCAGUAAGCAUUCUGAAACGUUUUACUGUCUGUUGAAACAUAGGUAAUAAAUGUAUGCGUUCUAGAA